CGGCGGACAUCGCUGGUAGGAGCGGCAAGUGGCCGCUGCUUCUCGGCUGCGCUCCAUCUCCUCCACCAUUCUCUGCUGGUCCCUCUCCUCCCCAUCAGCAAGCCCGCAUUGGGGAUGAUUUUCUCGUUCUCGUUGCACCAUCCUCAGGUGUAUUCUAAAGGAAGAUGACGAAGUUUAAUAGAAGAAUGGGCCCAUAUCGUACUAUUCCAGCGGGUUCAUGGAGAGCAUCUAAUGGAUUUGCUUGCAUCCAUGGAAGUGUACCUCAUCUAUUAUCCUAUCCAUAAGCUUGGUUUGCAUGUGUCUAACAAUCCAAAUCCUUCACCUGCCCCAUCUGCUACGUCUUCGGCAGCCAAAAAUUCAGCCAG